rnacentral:rRNA from 1 species
UACGUAGGGUGCAAGCGUUGUCCGGAAUUAUUGGGCGUAAAGAGCUCGUAGGCGGUCUGUCGCGUCGGCUGUGAAAUCCCGAGGCUCGAACCUCGGGUCUGCAGUACGAGUACGGGCAAACGUGGAGUACUGCAGGGGAGACGUGGAAUUCCUGGUGUAGAGGUGAAAUUCGUAGACGUAGUCGAAGGAGGAACCAACCGGUGGCGAAGGCGGCCAAGCUGGACAGAUACUGACGCUGGAGA